rnacentral:tRNA from 1 species
GGUGGCUCAGUGAUAGAGCACUUGCCUUGCAUGCAUGAGGCCCUGGGUUCGAUUCCCCAGCACCA